UACAGCCACUUCCGUGGGUGCUAGGUUAGAAGCUGGGGGCGGUGCUGACCUUGAAAACGCGCCGGGGAGGCGCAGGCGCAGCACAGGUAGGUGGGCGGGCGGCUCGCCGUUGCCGCGCCUGUGAGGAUCCAGAGCAGAGCAACUGGGGAACCUAAUUCUGACCAACAAGGAGGAAUUGCCUGGCUAAUUGGAAGUGACAGAAACCUUGGGAGAAAACAACCACAUACCAAGGAUAAUUAUAAGAAGAAGAAAACACAUGGAGAAGAGGAGGCAAUAUGACCACAGAGGCUAAGAUUGGAGUGAUGUGACAAUAAGUGAAUGAAUGCUGACAGCUACCAGAAGCUAGAAGAGGCAAAAAAACAGAUUCUCCCCUAGGUCUUUCAGAGGAAGUACAGCCCUGCUGACGUCUUGAUUUCAGACUUUUGGCCUCAGAACUGUAAGAAUAAACUUCUACUGUUUUAAACCACCAGUUUGUGGUAAUUUGUCACAGCAGCCCUACAAAGUUAAUACAGAGAGUUUAAAAGGGAUCUGUAGUAAUAUCUCUGGUAGAUUAGGUUUUUGUGGGUUGGAGGGAAUAGGAGACUGAAAUGGACGGUGGAGCGUGGAGAAGGCCUGAGGGACUCCUUGGAGGGAAUGUGUGAAUCAGAGUGGAGUUAGCAAAUUACAGACUACAUAGUCUCUGCCUUGACAGAGAUUGUUAGCUUAAAAGAGACCUCACAGGGUUACCCUGCAUUGCUAGGACCAGGAAAUCAUGUGUCAGGCAGCCAAUGCAGUAUUCAAAGUUGUGUUUGAAUAUUGUAUUUCAUGUUAUAAGAGAGAGUUUCUGUUUGAUUGACAAAUGCUUUCCACUUCCGACGCACUUGAUCUGUCAGGAGUAACAGCUCUCUGUAUGCUGGUAUUUUACUCAGUUCUAUCUAAACUACUCAUUAAAAAAAGUACUUUUAGGACAAUUAAAGGGGUUGCAGUGAUACAGAAGGGAAUCCAUAUCACUUCAAUCGUUACUUGACCAGGAUUUGAUUCAUUCAAUUGAGAGUCCCUCACACCUCUAAUUCCCUACCAGGACCACAUUGAUCCCAGGCAAGAAUCUAAAAGGAAUUCUUAAAAGGAUGCUCUGGCAGUAUCAGAGAAAGCAGUAAUAAGUCAAAUAGAGUAUGGGUUUACCAACCAGAAUUUACUUGUCUAAUUUUAUUUUCUUCCUGACAGGGUUACUAGGCUAGUCCAUUAAUGAAAUGUAGUAGACAAUACUUAUCUGUGCCCAGCACGUAUUGACAUUUUUCAUCGCAUACUUAUGAGUAAAUGGGGGAGGAAAAAGAGCUAGAUGAUAGACUGACUCCUGAAUGGCAGUCAGCCUCUGCAAAGGUUUCUAGUGUAGAACCACUGUCCCUUACUGAGUCAAUGCUGUAUUUCAUUGUCUUGAGAAAAUGCAUAGAACCCAUAUUUAUCAAAAUUUCACCCAAUUCAAAGUUGGAAAGGGUAGGGGGUUUUACAAACCUUAGAACAGCUUGAUGUUGACUUUGGGCUAAAAUCUAGAUAGUCAUUAUUGGAAUCAUAAAAUUUUGGGAUUCUAACCAUGUAAGUGGAGCCCAACCAAUAGGGAUUUUUAAGUUGAUUCACUUAUUUUGGUGUCACAAAUUUAUGGAACAUCUACGCUGUGUAAAUGUCUAUAUUAGACUUUAGAAAGAUGAUUAUUGUCCUUGGAUUGCAGGAGUUUAAUAUCCGGUGAGUAAAACAGACUUGUAAACAGAUCAAACAUAUUACAGCAUAAAUAUUCAUCAUAAGGCCUUAUAUUUAGGAAAUAUAAAAAAAAACCAAUUAACUACAUUUAAUUGUUUGGGAUGGAGUGGCACUAGCAUAUGUAAAACAUCUUUAAGAGUUUAAUUAGCUGGAAAAAUAUAAUACUUGUCAAGAAUAUGACAGUGAGCUGAUAUUCUAGCUCAUACAGUUGACUUUCUAAAAAUUAACAAUGGUUUAAACACCCAGAGGAGGAAAUACAAAUAGCUAAUAGAGAUAUAAAAACCUUGUAAAAAGUCAUUCUCAUUUGUAAGCAAAUCAAGACAACAGAUUUUAAAAAAAUUAAUAAUAGUAUCCCAUCCUUGCAAAGGUGUGGUGAAAUGAGCACUUACAUACUGCUGGUGCAAACAUAAAAUGGUAAUAUUAUAUACAAGAUAUCAUAUACAAGUCAUACUAUGCAAUACAGCUAUUUUCUUCUAGGAAUCUACUUUAAGAAAUAAUCUAAAAUAUAUACAUAAAAUAUACAUGAGGAAGUCCAUAACUGCAUUAUUUAUAAUAGCAAAAAAUGUUUAAGAUGAAUGAUUAAAAACAUAUGUCUUAUGAUGGAAUGUCACAAUAAUCAGAAUUGUGUCUUAAAAAGAGAGUGUCUGCUAUAUUAUAUUUAUUAUAUAAAGUUAUAUCAAAUUAUAUUAUAUCAUAUUAUAUUAUAUCAUAUUAUAUAUUCAAGUAUAAGGUUAGGGAUCAUGACUUUUCACUGUAAACCUUGGACAUUUUGAAUUUUGGGCCAUAUGCAUGUAACACAUUCAAAAAAUAAACAAAAUUUAAAAAUAUUCAGCUUAAAAUUUUAAAAAUACAUUUACAAAUCUUUUUUGUACCAUGUUAGGAAAUACACUAAGUGAAAUGCAAGGAAAUUUCAUUAUUUACUGCAUAAAAUAUGUAUAGUUAGAAAAUGUAUUUACUCUGGCUGUGUUACUAGAAAUAUUUUGUUCAGUAUUUUGCAUCAUAAGAAAUCUGGGACUACUUUACAUACAAGCAAGAAGGAUGGUAAAGAAGCUCAUCUAAGGAAUGAUUGGAGGAAAAUGUGAAUGUUUAGUCUCGAGUAUGUAUGUCUGUCAAUGGCUGUCUUCAAGUAUCUAAAGUACUGUCAUUUGGAAAAGGGACUACACUUCCUCAGGAAAGUCUCAGAGAAUGAAACCAUACCCACUGGCAGGAGCUAUAGUAAGCCAUUUCAGCUCAAUGUCAAAACACUUACAGACUUGCUUACUUGUUUAUGAUCCAUUUCAGCUCAAUAUCAGGGAACACUUCCUAUUAGAACUGGACAAAAAGAGUGAAUUUCCAGUCACUUGAAGGAUUCAAGCAUGAAUUGUCACCAACUUGAUCAGACAUUAUAGAAUAAAUCCAAGCAUCAGAAGUGUGGGUUUUGGUAUGAUUCCAGCCGUGUGAGAAGUUACUUAACCUCUCUGGGACUCAAUUCUCUGUAAAACAGGAAAAUUCGACUAAAUAACUAUCAUGUUCCUUUUGAGUUUUAAAUUGUUUUGAUUCUGCAUUGGUUACAUUCGGCUGUCUUUUCCAGAUUUAACAUAAUAUCAGUCUUUUAUCACUUGAAAUUUAUCUCACUAUACUGGGAGAAUUAAUUGAGGUGUUUAAAAAAGUAUUUGUGAAAAUGCAAAACACUGUGUAAGGAUAAGACGUCAUUAUAGUUCAACAUCAUUGGCCAUUUGGAAAAUAUAAAUUAGCACCACAUUGAGAUAACCACUACACACCUCUUAGAAUGGCUACAAUAAAUGGCUAAAAUACUGAUGAUACCAUGUGCUGACAAGAUGUGGAGCAACUGUAUCUCUCAUACUUUGCUGAUGGGAAUAAAACUGAUACAACUACACUAGAAAACAAUUUGGCAGUUUUUUGUAAAGUUGAACAUAUCCUUGCUAUAAGACCCAGUAAUCCAACUACUGGGUAUUUACUCUAGAGAAAUGAAAACAUACAUUCACAUAGAAAUCUGUGCAUAAAUGUUCGUAUCAGCUUUAUUUGUGAUAGCCAAAAACUCGAAACAACCCAGAUAUCCUCCAAGGGGUGAAUGAAUAAACUGUGGUACAUCCAUAUCAUGGAAUACUACUGAGUAAUAAAAAGGAACAAACUUGAUCCACACAGCAGCUUGCAUGCAUCUCAAGGCUGUUAUGCUGAUGAAAAGCCAAGCUCAAAAGGUUACAUAUGGUAUGAUUCCAUUUAUUUAACAUUCUUAAAAUGAAAAAAUUAUAGUGACAGAGAACAGAUUAAUGGUGCCAGGGGUUAGAGUUGGGAAGUUACUUUGGAGUGAUGGAAUGAUUCUGUGUCCUAAUUAUGGUGAUCACUACAUGAAUCUAUUACAUGUGAUCAAGUUUUAUAGAACAAUAUACCAAAAAAAUUAUGUUUAUCUUCAAGGUUCUGGAAAGCAACAAAAUGUGUAUCUUCAUUCACUUUUUGUUUUCACUGACUUCUUUUAUGUUUAGCUAUGAGCUGUUUUGUAAUCAAUAAUGUGGAAUGUUGAAAAAAGUUUUUCUUCCUGAAGCAUACUGUAGAAAUAAGAGUGUGAGGUGUACUUAUUUUAUGGUAAUUUCACUCUUUAAAGGAGAAAAUGUUAAAAUGUUAAGAUAAAUUCAGGUAAAGCUCACUUUUAUUUAUGUUCUUGUUUUUAAAUUUUACAAUCACAUUUUCAAGGAAUCCUCUGGAAAAAAAUUUUACAUACAUUUUCACAGCUCACUCAAAUGCGAUCCAUUCUUCAUUAUUUAUCUUAUGACUGAAGAGACUGUUAGCCUUGCCAGGUUCUACUUUAGCUGCUGAUUCUCUCUGUUUAUACUUAACUAAACUUCCUUCCAUUCAAAUUGCAUAAUAAACACAGGAGCUUAAAAUUAAUUCCUGUCCUAGGAUGAGAUCAGUACAGAGAGUUUGUCCCAAGAGUGAAAUUCUCUUAUAAGAUGAUCCUUAUGGAUACUAAAAUAUUAGCCACUCUCAGACAGUGUAAGACUGUUAUUGCAGCUAACAUUACCAAUUCUCACUAAUAUUUUCAACCUCUUCUCUUUUUCUGAUAUGUACAGUAGUCCCCACUUAUCUGUGUUCCCAAAACAGUAAAUGAAAAAAUUCCAGAAAUGAACAAUUCAUAAGUUUUAAAUUGUGUGCUGUUCUAAGUAGCGUGAUAAAAUCUCACACUGUCUUUCUGCAUCCAGGCUGAGAAUAAUCCAUUUGUUCAGUGUAUCCACUCUGUGUAUACUAGCCACCCAUCAGUCACUUAGUAGCCGCCUGGGCUAUCAGAUCUACUGUUGAGGUGCAGCAUUGCUUGUGUUUAGGUAACCCUUAUUUUACUUAAUAAUGGCCCCAAAGGUCAAGAAUAGUGAUUCUGUCAAUUCAGAAAUGCCAAAGGACAGCCAUAAAGUGCUUUCUUUAAGUGAAAAGUACAAUUAGAUAUUUUGAGAGAGAGAAA